AUGAGCUCCAAAUUCAAAAUUGUGGUCAAGUGGAGUGGCAAGGAGUACCCGAUCGAGACACUGACCGAAAGCGAUGACGUGGCCGCCCUCAAGGCCGCCAUCCAAGUGGCCACCGGCGUCCGUCCUGAGAGGCAAAAGUUGCUCAACCUAAAAGCCAAAGACGACGUGACAGUGCUUUCUACCUUGAAGCUCAAACCCGGCUUCAAACUCAUGCUGAUGGGUUCGUUGGAGGAGGAUGUUUUGGCCGCCGCUCCUCCGCCGGAGGAAGAGAUGCCCGAGGUCGUCAACGAUCUCGACAUUGAGGAUGAGGAGGUGGCCAUUGAGAAGAAAGAAGUGUACCUGUCUAAGAUUGAAAAGAGAAUCCAGCAAUAUGAAAUUAAGAUUUUAAACGAGCCAAGAGAAGGGAAAAAGUUGUUGGUCUUGGACAUUGACUACACCCUUUUCGAUCACCGCUCAGUGGCUGAGUCGGGAUACGAAUUGAUGCGUCCAUUUUUGCACGAAUUCCUCACCUCUGCUUACGAAGACUAUGAUAUUGUGAUAUGGUCUGCUACCAGUAUGAAGUGGAUCGACGAGAAGAUGAAAUUGCUCGGCGUCACGAACAAUCCCAAAUACAAAAUCACCUUUCACCUAGAUAGUCUAGCUAUGAUCUCAGUUCACACAAAGAAAUACGGUGUUAUUGAGGUAAAGCCUUUGGGUGUGAUCUGGGGCAAAUUUCCGCAAUACUCGCCGAGCAACACAAUCAUGUUCGACGACAUCAGGCGCAAUUUCAUCAUGAACCCUCAGACAGGUCUAAAAAUUCGUCCCUUCAAGAACGCCCACCAAAACCGGGCCGUAGACCGAGAACUGGUGCAGCUGGCCGGCUACCUGAAGGGCAUCGCGCAGCUCGACGACUUCACGCAACUGAACCACAAGCAUUGGGAGAGGUUUGGCUCUUUGCACAAGUCCAAGAAGAGGCGCUCAAAAGAAGAGCAAUGAAAGAAAGAAACUCCCACUACUUACUAGAGUGACCUGAACUGUUCACUUGUUGUUGGAAUAUCUUGUUCAAGAAAUAAUGUGCAGUUUUAAUGAAAAUGUUAAGAAUCGUCAGGUCAGGUGACCUGCUUAAUUCCAAAAUUGGAUUAAUUUUAGUGUCAUUGGAAAGCUGAAAACAGAUGAGCAAUUUUAUAAGACUAAAUUUUAUUUAGCUGUGUUAGUUUCGGGUGUUGAGCUCUCUUCACCGACCAAUGUAUUUGUAAAAUCUAUUGAUUUUCUCAUUUUCAACGACUGCAGUGUCAUCUCUUGCUCAUUAUACUUACUUUUCUCUCUCGCAAAUGCUAAACUUAGUUCUGUCAUGAAUAUCAUUGCCAAUUUGGACACAGAGUUUUUCCUGUCAGGCUGGAGACCAACGUACAAAGUGAAAAGCCUAAAAUGUCUAUGUCUUCGUGCUUUUACACAGUAUUGCAAUUCUCUGUCGGCGAAGGAAUUCAAUAUUCAGCCUCUGCAAAAUAUCCCCAACUGCGUCGUUCAAGAUGUGCUAAACUUGGUUGUGGAUGAUUCCCAGCUUUUGCCUGCAAAAAAGGAAUUUUUCUUGCUUCUCUUAAAUAAAUACGUUUCUCAAUUCAAUUUCAGACCCUUCAAGUGCCUCGAUAUUGACACUUUGGGUUUCAUACACGAUUGCCUGAUCGAAAAUUGCUCUGAAUUAAGGGAAAUUGAGUUUGUGGAAGAUAAAAUUAAUUUAGAGGACGAAGUUCCAUCUUUAAGAAAGCUUCAACCCAGGGAUUUGUGUCAUUGGAGCAAUCUUCGCGUGGCAAAGUGCGGAGAUUACGCUUUGAAUGACUUGAUGCUGAAGGAAAUGCAAAUUAAUUUGCACCAACUAGAGACCUUUGAAUUUUCCCUCUCUUCUGAUGGAGAUUUAAGCCUGGAAGGACUGUGGUGUUUCAGAGAAAUGAAAAAUCUAACUGAUAUUGUGGCAAACGCUAUGAGCAGCUCAAACCACAAUUUAAUUUCACAAAUUGCCUGUCUUCCACCAAAGCUGCAGAGAUUUGGGUCGAAUAUUUUUGAGGAUGAAGAUACAUCAAGCCUAAAAAUAAUUAAUCGAAUAGGAGCAGAAUUAAAUCCACACAAAAUAAUUACUUUAAUUAACGUAACCUUGAUGGAGGUUCCAUUUUCUUGGCCAAUAAAUAUAUGCGUGGAAAAUUUAGAGCUUAUCAGUUCUCCUGGGAUGAAUUUUGGAGAAUUUGUCUGUGAGACAAUGGCAACUUCAGGGUUGAAAAAAAUCAUAUUUGACUCAGUGCUGCCGAAUCAAAUUCAUGUGAUUUUUAAUAAAAUGGGCCACGGUUUGCUUCACAUGGAAAUCGUCACCAAGAAAGGAAGCUUGCGGCGAUUUGAGACGGACAGACUGGAUUUGUUCAAAAUAUUUUCUGCAACUCCAAAUCUGCGAAAUUUCAAGUUUCUCGCACCGUUUCGCUUGCAAGGAGCUGAUCCAUGUGCUGAAUUGAUACCAGAACAUUUUAAACAAAUUGUUUCUUUUGAGAUUCUGUUUUUGAAUGGAGACGGUAGCCAAAAUGCGAUGAAAGAACUUUUCAAACUAGUUUUGAGAGGAGCUGAGAACUACUCAAAUUUAAUCAUCCACACUGAUGCAGAUUUAGAAGUGACAAUUGAAUUAUUUAAAAUCCAAAAUCAAUUUGUAAAAAACAUUCAACAAUUUAAAGUCUACAACACUCUGGACCUUAAUCAGGAAAAACUCUUUCAG